AUUACUAUAUAAGCUUCGUUUGGUUCGAGGUUUAGUUCUUUAUUUCAGGGAUAGUGUUAAGUUCAGGGUUAAGGUGGGGUUAGAGUAAUUUUGUAUUUCGUUGAGAAUUGGGUUUAAUCCAGAUAUAAGUAAAAUAAUGUUUGGUUAGAGUAAGUGAAAUAAAAAGGAUAAUGGAUAAUUAUAAAUAAAAAAUAAUAAUAUUACCCCAAUUAUUAUAUUUGAAUUUGAAUUUUUUAUUUUAUAUUUAAAAUUUUAAAUGUAAAUA
rnacentral:lncRNA from 1 species